ACGGAGUUAGCCGGUGCUUAUUCCUGGGUACCGUCACUAUCUUCCCCCAGAAAAGAGCUUUACGACCCAAAGGCCUUCUUCACUCACGCGGUAUUGCUGCGUCAGGCUUUCGCCCAUUGCGCAAAAUUCCCCA
rnacentral:rRNA from 1 species